AGGGGACGGUGAGAACUGAGAGCCACCUCACACCAUUGGGUCUCCUCCCUACAGUCCUUUUACUCUCCCCUGCCCGAAAUCAGACUGCCGCCUCCCCCAGGGCCUGGGCAGUUUCGAACUGGGGAUGCCCGCAGCUUGUUCUGGAAACCAGGAUGUUCUAGUUCUUGGUGCGUGUUGAGGAGAGAACGCGACCAGGACAGAGAAAAUAAAAUGCUGCUGUGAGAAGAUACUGCAGGAGUGGAUUUGAAAGCUGAUGGAAGAAGAUUGUAAACAGAAUUCUACCUCUUCGCCAACACUGUGACCAGCACCCCAGGAUCCACUUAUUGGGAACAGGUUCCUGGGUGAAGAAGGUGCCUUGCUUCCCCUUCACCUUCCACCAUGAUUGUAAGUUUCCUGAGGCCUCCCUAGCCAUGCUGAACUGCAUACAUUAAGUGUGGGAGAGAGCUAUCCUGCUCAAAAGAGAGUGCUCCCCAUUCUGACACAUCUGGAAAUCAUCUGGCAAAUGUCUUCUGACCGUCUCUGAGUGAAAAAGCCUUCGAGU
ensembl:lncRNA novel transcript, antisense to FLI1